UGGCGUACUGCUCAGUAACACGUGGACAACCUACCCUUAGGACGGGGAUAAACCCGGGAAACUGGGUAUAAUACCCGAUAGAUCUGGGCUGCUGGAAUGCAUUCAGAUUUAAAACUCCGGUGCCUAAGGAUGGGUCUGCGGCCUAUCAGGUUGUAGUGGGUGUAGCGUACCUACUAGCCUACGACGGGUACGGGUUGUGAGAGCAAGAGCCCGGAGAUGGAUUCUGAGACACGAAUCCAGGCCCUACGGGGUGCAGCAGGCGCGAAAACUUUACAAUGCCGGCAACGGCGAUAAGGGGACCUCGAGUGCCAGGUUACAAAUCUGGCUGUCGCGAUGCCUAAAAAGCAUUGCAUAGCAAGGGCCGGGCAAGACCGGUGCCAGCCGCCGCGGUAACACCGGCGGCUCGAGUGGUAACCGUUAUUAUUGGGUCUAAAGGGUCUGUAGCCGGCCGGGUAAGUCUCUUGGGAAAUCCAGCAGCUUAACUGUUGGGCUUUCAGGAGAUACUGCCUGGCUCGAGGCCGGGAGAGGUGAGAGGUACUUCAGGGGUAGGGGUGAAAUCUUGUAAUCCUUGAAGGACCACCAGUGGCGAA
rnacentral:rRNA from 1 species